rnacentral:rRNA from 1 species
UACGAAGGGGGCGAGCGUUGUUCGGAUUUACUGGGCGUAAAGGGCGCGCAGGCGGCUCAUUUUGUCAGGCGUGAAAGCCCCGGGCUUAACCUGGGAACUGCGUUUGAUACGGAUGGGCUAGAGUUCGGGAGAGGAGCGUGGAAUUCCCAGUGUAGAGGUGAAAUUCGUAGAUAUUGGGAAGAACACCGGUGGCGAAGGCGGCGCUCUGGACCGAGACUGACGCUGAGGCGCGAAAGCGUGGGGAGCAACAGG